UUUCAAUUUUUGGAACCACGCAGCUCUGUCCUUAAAUACUGUCGAGGCAGUACCGGCCACAAGUGCUAGAUAAUUUUUACUGGUUAGCCAAGCGGGUGUAGAAAGCAAAUGCGUGAGUUCGAAUUCUGGUGCUGCAACCUAUUUUAGGAUUUUUUGUCCACUGGCGUUACACAUUCGUGGGCCGGCCUAGCAAGGCGCUGCUGCGAGCGCCAGUUGGUUAGUUGGCGCUGAAGGCGCGGAGUAGGAGCUCCCCUCCUAGAAACCUAGGGAAGUCCAUCUUUGGUCCUUUAGUCAGUGAUUUCAUGAACUGGGCCUGCAUGUUGAUGGGGUUAUGUACCUAGGGUAGGGUCAUGGACCUGUUCCAAGUAACUUACCCUAGGACAUCCCUAGAAGAGGUCGCCUUCCAGUCGACCAACGAGGAUUCACUCGACUGGCCUGAAGGACUCGACCACGAAGACUCACUCGACCACCAGGAGGUCAAGAGGCACUCUGCACCGCAACGGCCUGUAAUUAAGUAGACUUUAUGAUAGUAAAGGCACUUUAUGUGGAGCGUUACCAGUAACGCCCCAGACUUAACUCACCUUAAACCCUCUCCUACGUGGGCUGGCUGGGGUCCUGGCGCACUCUAUAUAAGCCACCCCCCCUCCACAGGCAGAAGGGUUCGGCACCUUGUAAUCCAUACAUUCAUAAUCCACUCGACGCCUCUGGGCUCCGAGACGUAGGGCUGUUACUUCUUCCGAGAAGGGCCUGAACUCGUACAUCCUUUGUGCUUACAACCUCUCCAUAGCUAGGACCUUGCCUCUCCAUACCUACCCCCACUCUACUGUCAGGCUUAGAACCACGACAGUUGGCGCCCACCGUGGGGCAGGUGUUUUAGCGAUUUUGUGGAGAAGUUGCGAUUCUUCCGAGUACUUUCAUCAUGGUGUCUGCUGGAAUUUUGGUCGAGGGUCAAGAGAUCCGUCUCGGCGCUCUCGCCUUCAUCGCCGACGACUCCGCAUGGCUCCAGGAGGCUCCACUCGACGUAGAUGCACUCCCCGUCCGCGGUGCGACGCAUUUUCGCGCAUGUGUCCGCGGCGUUCUGCUGCGGCAACCAUCGACCCAGUAUCGGUCGGCUCCUCCAUCUUCCACCCUCCCGGUCUCCCGCCAGCGCAAGCGCUCAGGCCGGUCGAGGCUUCAGCGAUGGGUGAGUCACGCGGUGGCUCGCCAGUCGGCUACUACACAAGUUGCGGCAAUCGAGCCCAACGAAUCUCUCUACGGCUUGUUCGAUCAGUCGACUGGCUCCGGAGAGACUGCAUCCGAGUGCGGAAGCAGUGAUCCAGCGGCGGAAAUCUUGAUGGUCGACGGGCCCCACAGUCCUCCUGGCUUCGCCCGUGGUGGUGGAGCAGGCGACGGCGGCGACCCUGCACGAGGCUACAAAGAGUACCAGCCCGAGCCACUCGACUCUAUGCAAAGAGAAGAGCUUCGCCGCAGGAACGAGGAUCCCCUGCGUAUUCCCAUCGCAGGAGAAACCCCCGAGGCUCGUGCCUUGGAGGAGGCGCGUCUGGCCAAUUUGGCCGAGCGCACUCGACUGGAGAACCUUCAGCGAGCACUCGACGAGCGCGCGCGGCAACGAGUUCCCGACACCAGUCGACGUCAACUCUUCCCGCCGACUCAGGUAUAUCGAACCCCAAUUCAGAAUUUAGCAGUUGCGACCCGUAUAGCAGAGUCCAUUCAGCCUUCGCAGUCAGAGGCUGGCAGAGGUUUGCUGCAGAUCAGGGAUCUGCUCCAGGCAGCAGGAGAUCAGAAUUCAGCCGUGUCUCAGUCGCGCAACAGAAUUCACAGUCGAUCUGUCACUGUGAAUACGGUUCAGUCGGCUCACAGCCCCAGAUCGCCUCCGCGGCGCGAAGGGCGUGAGAAUCGGCGAGAUCAAUAUGGCGACAGACUCGACCGAGAUGAUAGGCGUCGAGUGCCCUAUUCCCCUCCGAGGGGUGGGUCUUACGCUCCUCGGCAGCCAGAUGAUAGGCGUCAGUACAGUACAGGGCGUAGGGUUCCGGUUGACCCCAGAGAGCCAGGCUUCGACGCGCGAUCCAUUAUCGUGCAAGGGUUGGUCGACCGGAACAGAGCCCAUCGAGGCGCACUCGACAGAGAUGUGCCCACGAGCCGUCGAGUACAUGUUUCUGGUCCUGAAUGUUUCAGCAGAGCUAUCAGAGCCGCAGUUAUCCCCCCCAAUUUCAGGUUGGCAACAGGAGUCAGCAAGUUCACUGGUGAGUCUAAGCCUGAAACUUGGCUUGAAGACUACCGAGUGGCAGUUCAGAUCGGUGGUGGGAACGACGAGGUGGCCAUGAAGCAUUUGCCCCUCAUGUUGGAAGGUUCUGCCAGGGCAUGGUUGACUCAAUUGCCUCCUAGCAGCAUUUACACUUGGGAAGAUCUGUCCCGAGUGUUCGUCAGAACGUUCGAAGGGACUUGCAAGCGACCAGCGGGAUUGACAGAGUUGCAAGUCUGCGUGCAGAAAACCAAUGAGACUCUCAGAGAGUAUAUUCAGAGGUGGAUCACUUUGCACCACACUGUGGAAAAUGUCUCUGACCAUCAGGCAGUAUGCGCCUUCAAAGAUGGUGUCAAGAACAGAGAACUGAGUUUGAAAUUUGGUCGAACCGGUGACAUGACCUUGAGUCGGAUGAUGGAGAUUGCUACCAAGUACGCCAACGGCGAAGAAGAAGACCGACUCCGAAGCGGCAAGCAAGCCGAGUCAGUCGGAAAAAGGAAACACCAGUCGGAAACAGAAGCGGAAGGCUGAACCGGCAGCUCCUGGAGAGGCUCUGGCCGUGACUCAAGGAAAGUCUAAGGGGAAACCAAAAGGAUCCUGGAACCCCAAGAAAGUAAAGGAUAAAGAAGGGAACGACGUGAUGGAUAUGCCGUGUCAUAUUCACACGAAGAAAGAUGAAGAGGGGAAUAUCAUUUACCCAAAGCACACCACUCGCCAAUGUCGACUCCUGAUCCAGCAGUUUCAGGGAAAACAGUCUAAGGACAAGGAGAAGGAGCCGGACAAGGCCGAAGACAAAGAGGACAGUGAGGGAGGAUAUCCGCAUAUCAACUCCACUCUGAUGAUCUUCGCAGAUGUGGAAAGCAGAAGUCGACUGAAAGUGAUUAACCGAGAGGUUAACAUGGUUGCCCCGGCAAAGGCAAAUUAUCUGAAGUGGUCUCAAACACCCAUCACAUUCGACCAAUCUGAUCACCCGACUCAUAUUGCCACCCCUGGGAGGCAAGCUUUGGUGGUCGAUCCAGUUGUCGAAGGCACUCGACUGACAAAGGUGCUGAUGGAUGGUGGAAGUGGGCUGAACUUACUGUAUGCAGACACACUGAAAGGUAUGGGCAUUCCGAUGUCCCGACUGAGCACUAGUAACAUGAGCUUCCAUGGAGUUAUACCAGGGAAGAAGGCCGAGUCACUCGGCCAGAUAGCUUUGGACGUAGUGUUUGGCGAUUCAAAGCAUUUUCGCAAAGAAAAGUUGACGUUUGAGGUCGUGGAUUUUCAAAGUGCAUAUCAUGCCAUUUUGGGGAGACCAGCCUAUGCACGGUUCAUGGCUCGACCAUGUUACGUGUACCUCAAAUUGAAGAUGCCCGGUCCCAAAGGUGUGAUCACUGUCACCGGUGAUAGGAAAAAGGCAGAGGAGUGCUUUCAGAAGGGCUCCAAAAUUGCCGAUUCCCAAGUGACAGCGGUCGAGUUCGAAGAAUACAAGCAAAACGCAGAUCCGAGUGACUUGCUGUGAUCCAAGAAGCCCGCCACAGAAUCUGCAUUCCAGUCGUCCGGUGAGACGAAGCUUGUUCACAUUCACCCGACCGACCCCGAAGCAGCUCCGACCCGCAUCUCCACAACACUCGACCCAAAAUAGGAAGAAGCGCUCAUCCAGUUCCUCCGUGAGAACUGGGACAUUUUUGCAUGGAAGCCCGCUGACAUGCCAGGUGUUCCCAGGGGACUGGCUGAGCAUCGCCUAAGAGUCGACUCGUCUGCAAAGCCAGUCAAAGAACAUCUUCGGCGGUCCGCCGUCCAGAAGAGAAAGGCCAUCGGUGAAGAAGUGGCUCGACUGUUGGCGGCAGGAUUUAUCCGAGAGAUAUUCCACUCCGAGUGGCUCGCUAAUGUCGUCAUGGUUCCUAAGAAGGACAAGUCGCUCCGAAUGUGCAUUGAUUUCAAGCACAUCAACCGGGCCUGCCCGAAAGAUCACUUUCCUCUCCCUCGCAUAGAUCAAAUUGUUGACUCGACCGCGGGAUGCGAGAGGUUGUCUUUUUUAGAUGCUUACUCCGGGUACCACCAGAUCCGUCUGUAUGGGCCCGAUGAAGUAAAAACAGCUUUCAUCACUCCAUUCGGGUGCUUCUGCUAUAUCACCAUGCCAUUCGGCCUCAAGAAUGCCGGAGCCACAUUUAUGCGAAUGAUCCAGAAGUGUCCACUCACUCAAAUCAGUCGGAAUGUGGAAGCUUAUAUGGAUGAUAUUGUUGUCAAGUCACGAAAAGGUUCCGACCUGCUCGCUGACCUCGCCGAAACAUUUGCCAACCUCAGAAGGUAUGAUAUCAAGCUCAAUCCAUCAAAGUGCACAUUUGGAGUUCCUGGUGGCAAGUUACUCGGUUUUCUCGUUUCCGAACGGGGAAUCGACGCCAACCCAGAAAAGAUUGGCACUAUUCUCCGAAUGAAACGCCCUGUGCGAGUGCACGAUGUCCAGAAGCUUACUGGAUGCUUGGCCGCAUUAAGUCGAUUCAUCUCACGACUCGGUGAAAAGGCAUUGCCUCUUUACCGACUGAUGAAGAAGGCUGACAAGUUCGAGUGGACUCCAGAAGCUGAUGCAGCGUUUGCCGAGCUAAAAGCUCUGCUCUCCACCCAGCCGGUGCUUGCUGCUCCAAUCAGCCAAGAGCCUCUGUUGCUCUACAUCGCAGCCACAGGACAAGUCGUCAGUACUGUGCUAACGGUCGAGCGGGAAGAAGAAGGAAAAGCUCUCAAAGUUCAGCGCCCAGUGUAUUAUUUGUCUGAAGUCUUGACUCCAUCCAAGCAGAGAUAUCCUCAUUAUCAGAAGCUUGUGUAUGGAAUAUACAUGACCACAAAGAAGGUUGCUCAUUAUUUCUCUGACCAUUCAAUCACAGUCGUCAGCGACGCUCCACUAUCAGAGAUUUUGCACAACAGAGAUGCAACUGGUCGAGUGGCCAAAUGGGCGAUUGAACUUCUUCCCCUUGAUAUCAAGUUUGAGGCAAAGAAAGCCAUUAAGUCCCAGGCAAUAGCAGAUUUCCUCGCCGAGUGGAUCGAACAGCAGCAGCCGGCUGAAGUUCACUCGGAGCAUUGGACCAUGUUUUUCGAUGGUUCUAAGAUGUUGAAUGGUUCCGGUGCUGGGGUUGUCCUGGUUUCCCCCAGAGGAGAUAAGCUCAGAUAUGUGCUCCAGAUUCACUUUGAUUCCUCCAACAAUGAGGCAGAAUAUGAGGCCCUCCUAUAUGGGUUGCGCAUGGCCAUUUCACUCGGCGUCCGUCGCCUAAUGGUCUAUGGCGACUCGGAUUUAGUGGUCAAUCAGGUGAUGAAAGAGUGGGACGUGAGAAGCCCAGCCAUGACUGGAUACUGCAGUGCAGUGAGGAAGCUGGAGAAAAAAUUCGAGGGGUUGGAGCUCCAUCAUAUACCCCGACUGAAAAAUCAAGCAGCUGAUGAUCUAGCAAAGAUAGGUUCCAAGAGAGAAGCCAUUCCGAGUGGUGUGUUCUUGGAGCAUAUACAUACUCCGUCAGUCAAAGAAGAUCCUUUCACCGAAGAAACUCCGCAGCCCAAGAGUGCCACAGAUCCGACUGAAGUUGAAGUCCCAGCGGUGGUCGACUUGAUCAUGGAGGUUUUGGUAGUCAUUCCCGACUGGACGAUUCCGUAUGUCGCAUAUAUCUUGAGGAAAGAGCUUCCGGAGGAUGAGGAAGAGGCUCGACAGAUCGUCCGUCGAUCUAAGGCCUUUACCGUCAUCAAAGGACAAUUAUACAGAGAGAGCACGACUGGAGUCGGUCAGAAGUGCAUAACACCAGAAGAAGGUCGACUCAUCCUCAAUGAUAUUCACUCGGGAACCUGUGGUCAUCAUGCGUCCUCCCGGACCAUCGUGGCCAAAGCAUACCGAGCCGGAUUUUACUGGCCCAAGGCGAAUGAGAUGGCAAAGGAGAUAGUGGAUAAGUGCGAGGGAUGUCAGUUCUACUCGAAUAUGUCGCACAAACCUGCGUCAGCUUUGAAGACCAUCCCACUCGUCUGGCCUUUUGCAGUCUGGGGGCUGGACAUGGUCGGCCCUUUGAGAACAGGACGAAGUGGCUUCACGCAUGUACUGGUGGCAGUCGACAAGUUCACCAAGUGGAUCGAGGCUAACCAAUCAAGAGCCUCGACACCGGUACUGCUGUUAGCUUCAUCAGGGAACUAAUAUUCAGAUAUGGAGUCCCGCACAGCAUCAUUACGGAUAAUGGGUCGAACUUUGACUCAGAGGAAUUCAGAACCUUCUGCAACUCCCAGGGCACACGGGUCGACUACGCAUCAGUCGCCCAUCCGCAGUCGAAUGGACAAGCAGAGCGAGCUAAUGGACUGAUUCUCAAGGGACUGAAGCCGCGACUGAUGCGUGAUCUCAAACACGCGGCUGGAGCUUGGGUCGACGAACUUCCAUCUGUACUCUGGGGACUGCGGACCACGCCCAAUCGGUCGACCGGAAGAACUCCAUUCUUCUUGGUCUAUGGAGCCGAAGCAGUCUUGCCGAGUGAUCUUCUCCACAAUGCUCCUCGAGUCGAAAUCUACAAUGAAGCAGAAGCUGAACAAGCGCGGCAGGACGCAGUCGACCUUUUAGAGGAAGAAAGGGAGAUGGCUCUGAUCCGGUCGACCAUCUACCAACAAGAUCUGCGCCGUUUCCACGCCCGAAAUGUGAGAGGUCGAGCCUUCCAGGAAGGGGAUUUGGUUCUCCGAGUGGAUCAGCACAAACCACACAAGCUUGCUCCUUCUUGGGAAGGCCCCUUCAUCGUCACCAAGGUUCUCCACAACGGGGCGUACCGUCUUUACAACGUCGAGCAUAAUAUCGACGAGCCCCGAGCUUGGAACGCGGAGCUACUCCGCCCAUUUUACACUUAAGUUUUAUCACUCGGAUGAGUUGCAAUAAAGUACUUCUGUAGUUCAUGGGUUUAGAAAUAAUUGUGUCAUCACUUUUUAUUUUUGUCCACAUAAAAACUCCCCCUCAGUGGGUGGCUUAGCCGCGAAUCCGUUUCGCCUAAGUUUGUAAAAAUCCUAUCGAGUGGUGAGCCAGACUCACACUCGGAGGCUUAGCUGCGAAUCCGUUUCGCCUAAGUUUAUCAAAAUCCUACCGAGUGGUAAGCCAGCCUUCCACUCGGGGGCUUAGCUGCAGUCCAAGGACUCGCCUAGGUUUAUCAAAAUCCUACCGAGUGGUAAGCCAGCCUUCCACUCGGGGGCUUAGCUGCAGUCCAAGCACUCGCCUAAGUUGUGAAAAUCCUACCGAGUGAAGAGCGAUCCUCUCACUCGGAGGCUUAGCUGCAGUCCAAGGACUCGCCUAAGUUUAUCAAAGUCCUACCGAGUGGUAAGCCAGCCUUCCACUCGGGGGCUUAGCUGCAGUCCAAGCACUCGCCUAAGUUGUGAAAAUCCUACCGAGUGAAGAGCGAUCCUCUCACUCGGGGGCUUAGCUGCAGUCCAAGCACUCGCCUAAGUUUAUCAAAAUCCUACCNNNNNNNNNNNNNNNNNNNNNNNNNNNNNNNNNNNNNNNNNNNNNNNNNNNNNNNNNNNNNNNNNNNNNNNNNNNNNNNNNNNNNNNNNNNNNNNNNNNNNNNNNNNNNNNNNNNNNNNNNNNNNNNNNNNNNNNNNNNNNNNNNNNNNNNNNNNNNNNNNNNNNNNNNNNNNNUGCAGUCCAAGCACUCGCCUAAGUUGUGAAAAUCCUACCGAGUGAAGAGCGAUCCUCUCACUCGGGGGCUUAGCUGCAGCCUCGUGCUCGCCUAAGUUAUCAAAAUCCUACCGAGUGGUAAGCCAGCCUUCCACUCGGAGGCUUAGCUGCAGCAUCGUGCUCGCCUAAGUUAUAAAAAUCUUACCGAGUGGAGAGCAACCCUCUCACUCGGGGGCUUAGCUGCAGCCCUGCGCUCGCCUAAGUUACAAAAAUCCUACCGAGUGAAGAGCGACCCUCUCACUCGGAGGCUUAGCUGCAGCCCAGUGCUCGCCUAAGUGGACUAAAGAAUAAGUCGAUUGCGGUACAGGCACCUUGCUUUGAACCUGCAAAAGACAUUCCGAGCCGAAGGCAAUCAUAUUCAAGUGCCAAAUUCAAGUUUGGAUCGAUAUCUAAAGGAACCGAAAGUGCUCGGGCGUCAAGCCUGUUAAGGUUUGUCGGUUACAAUUCCACUCGGCAUACCGAGGCAAAUUUAAAGUGUCGAGCCAGAAGAAGUUUUUUACCCCUCCUGUGGAGGGCUGGAAGGUGCAACAAAUUCAUCAAGGUCAAUUCCGUCGGCGAUCCGAGUGGCAGCUGCAAGGAAAGUCUCCAUAAAGGACCUGAAGUCGUGCUUCUUGGUAUUGGCCACCCGAAGGGCCGCCAGCUUCUCCUCUCGUGCAUCUUUGCAGUGGACUCGGGCCAGACACAGAGCGACAUCUGCACCACACCGAGCCGAGGACUUCUUCCACUCCUGCACUCGACCAGGGAUCGUGUUCAAGCGGGCCAUCAGCGACUCAAGGUCAUUCUGAAGUGUCUCCUCAGGCCAGAGCGUCGAGUCGAUGCGAGAUGUGGCGGCCUUCAGCCUUGCGAGAUAGUCCACGACAGCUGCGACACGAGACUCCAGUCGGAAAACAUCCAUGGCAACUUCGUCGUUCACCGGAGAAUUGACGGGGUCAAGGUUUGGCUCCAGUCGGCUGGUUUCCUCUUCAAAGUUUUGACAAAAUUCUGCAAGGGUGAUCACUAAGUCAAGGGGAUAGUCGAAUGGAAGAAGCCACAGUUGGAAAUAUUUGCCAAACAUGGAGGUUUACCUUCAAGCAUAAGAAACAGCUUCUUGGCAAGGCCACUCAGGAAGGCCUCCAGUUCAGUUUUCUUCUCAGUCAAUUUGCUGACUUGGUCGGUCAAGGCAGCUUUGUCAGUUCUCAGUCGACUGACUUCCUUGUUGGCAAUCCCAAGAGCAGUUUUCAGAUUGGUAUUGUCUUGUUCGAGCUUGGUGACUGAAGCUAACUUCUCGUCAGCAAGCUUGAUCUUCUCAGCUAGCUCAAGGUCUUUCUUCUGCUGGGCCUCCCUUACCUUACCUGCAAGUUACAGUGAGAUCAGAUGCCGAAACAAGCAAGGGGAAAAGCAGUCGUCAGGGUCUCACCAAACAUACCUUCGGUCUCCUCCUUUGCCUUUGUCAGCUUCUCCUGAACCAGCUUCAAGCUCAGCUCGACUUGAGUAUGUUUUUGUUCCAGCUCUGAGUAGCGAGCCACAAGAUCACAGGAGUUCUGCGAAGAACCAAUCGACUAAACGUCAAAUGUAACUCACUUCCGAGUGAAAAAGGGAAAAACACACGUUUCUGAGACUACAGCCGAAUACAAGCAUUCGACCGUAGUCUCGGGGACUACACCCAGUGGGUGCACUCAGCGUGCCCCCACUAAUCCUGUUGAAGACAAAGUCGACCAGUCGACCUCAAAAAAAAAACAGUGUGCGAGACACAUUCUCUAAGACUGUGAUCAACUGCAAGCAGUCGACCACAGUCUCGGGGACUACAUCCAGUGGGUGCACUCAGCGUGCCCCCACCGGUUUGCGAAAUCCAGUUGACCAGUCGACUGACAGAAAGAUUGACAUCAUAAAGCCUAAGGCCGACUGCCAGCAGUCGACCUUAGCCUUGGGGACUACACCCAGCGGGUGCACUCAGCGUGCCCCCGCUAACACGGAGUUUAUUCGACACACCCAGUGGGUGACUAAUAUAAAUUCCGGAAAAGAAAAGUUUUUGGUAGCAUAUCCAACAGAACAAACAGCGGUCGACUGACCUGGACAUUGCUUUGGAGGGCAGAACUGGCGUCAUAAGCUGCCUGGCUCGCGUCCCGGAUGGUCUUCAGCUGCUCCAUCAUGAGUCCCGCCUGGCGUAUCGCCUCCUUCGCUGCGCCAGCUUGGUCCUCUGGGACGUGGUGCGUCAAGAAGAGGGAAGGCUGCUGAGCACUCGUCAGUGGAUUCGCGAAGGUCACCGUGUGUCGAGUGGUGUUCUCUUCCUCCACAGUCAGAAUUUCAGGCGCCGGCACAUCCUGAGGCACCUUACUGGCGGACGCUUUCCGACUCCUCCUGUGCUUCAGCGGCUCUUCAUCCUCAUCAUCAUCAGGAAGAUCGAUAACAGUGUUGGGUGGAGCUGCGGAGAAGGAUCAGGAUCAGAGAUCGCGAGUCAGUCGACUAAGAAUGGUAUUAAGAACACAGUACCUGGAUUCGAAGUUGCUGCAUCCUCCAUCUCGUGGUCAUCGGCCCGGGCCGAGGUCUCAGAAGUAGCAGCACUGCAACUCCAAAGGAUCAGUCGACUAACCUCAGCGUCGACUAGAGAUAAAGUUCGCACAGAAUAAGAAAAUAUGAGCAACACAAUUACCCUGAUAUGGUGGGGAUGGACACCUUCAUCUUCGGCAGGAGCUUGGUCGGCUUCGAUGAGGCCGCCCUGGGCUGCUUCGGCGCCUUUUCAGUCGGCGCCGGAGAGGUGGUCCGAGGGCGCUUGGUCGACUGAGUGGCGGUCGCAACCCCCUUACCACGUUCGGUCGAAGGGUCGUGGACAAGCUUCGACCGCCUUUCUGAGCGCGGUGGAACGACCUCCUCCUCCUCUUCUUCCUCGUCCUCGAUGUCAUCUUCAUCACCUUCAUCAUCAUCAUCGUCGUCAUCAUCCCCUGCAGCAUCCGAGUCCCAUUCCUCCUCUUCCUGGCUCUCGCCCCCGCUCGCCUCGCCCCCGCUCGCCUCGCCUUCCUCAGUCGAAGCUUGUGCCCCAUUGGGCAUCGAGUACAGCUCGGUGAAGGCCUAGCAGAUGCCCAAACAAGGAUCAGUCGACCAGUCGGCAGGGUUAGCAGAAAUGAAUACGACAAGGACACGAUGGAAAGCAGAGCAAGUGUACCUUGUUUGGGUCGCUGUUGUGGUCGAGUGGAGGAAUCCUUCUGGCUCCGCGCAGGUUGUCCCUGUUUCCGGUAACGGCUACCAUCCAUCUUUCCAGAGUGGCAUCGUCGACUUCUUCUGGAUGGACUCUAGUCUCGUCUUCGGGCCCACAGUACAACCACAUGCAGUGGCUCCGGAAUUGAAGGGGUUGGAUGCGACGCCUGAGGAAGACCUCCAGAAGAUCCAUGCCCGUCACCCCCUCCCGAACCAACUGCACCACGCGCUCCAUCAACAUCUUCACGUCGGCUUUCUCCUCCGGAAUCAGCUUCAGAGGGGAGGGCUUGUUCACUCGGUCCAUGGUAAACGGAGGGAGUCCACUCGACUGCCCUGGCGUCGACUGGACCUGACAGUAGAACCAAGUCGACUGCCAGCCUCUGACGGACUCGGGAAAGGACAUGGGCGGGAAGGUGCUAUUAUUCCUCACCUGAAUCCCCAGGCCCCCACACAUUUGGACGACUCGGGUCUUCUCAUCACCCGGGCUCGCCUUCUUCACGGUCUGAGAGCGACACGUGAAGAUACGUUUGAACAAACCCCAGUGCGGUCGACAGCCCAAGAAACCCUCACACAUGGACACGAAUGCAGCAAGAUAGGCAAUGGAGUUUGGGGUAAAGUGGUGGAGCUGCGCUCCAAAGAAAUUCAAGAAGCCACGGAAGAAAAUGCUUGGCGGCAAGGAAAACCCACGAUCAACAUGAGUGGCCAGAAGCACACACUCACCCUCUUCUGGCUGUGGCUGCCACUCCUUCCCCGGCAACCUCGCAGCUCCGUGAGGGAUCAAGCCCUCGUUGGCCAUGUCAAGGAGGUCCUUCUCCGUGAUGGUCGACUGGAUCCAGUCUCCUUGGACCCAGCCUUUCGGCAGGCGGGAUCUGGACGAGGACCCUCUGCGGCUGGUGGAUCUCCCCUUCGCCUUCUCCGAUGCCGACGCCUUCUUGGCACGCUCCAGCGCCGCCGUCUUCUCCUUGGCCAUGGUCGCCGGUGAGAUGCACGAAGGGAAGUGGUGCGGGGGCGAGAGCGAGCACGCUGAGCAGGGAGGAAGGAAGCAGAGGGAGAGAGGGAGAAUGCUGAGGCGCAGCACAGAAAUCCUCGCCGGGCACAUUUAUAAGGUCCCUUCCGAGUGGCUGACAUGUGGGCCCGGUCGAUCUAAUCAUAUCUGGGAGCAGUUAUGAGGACUGGAUACGUGGCGAAAAAGGCGGCGCGGAGAUCGAGGCGUCUAUGCCCCGUCCCAUCCGAACGCCGUGGUCUGCCCCGCUUCGCGCGCGCCCCCAAAUUUCGCACCCCGCGGAAUCCGCGAGCAACAAAUCAGUCUGUCAGACGCGGUGUUUCCGGCGAUCCGUCGCUCGGAGAUCGUCGAAGCUCGAAAGAUCACUCGACGCAAAAAUAGAAUGGAUCGAGUCGACCAAAGACAAAUUGCUCCCUGUCAACGAAGAGAUUCUUUGAUCCAGAACAGCGCACAACUAGAGCGCAAAGGUUAAUCGGAAACGACAUCAACUCCUUCUUCACUCGAAGCCUCAAUCCAUUCGGGGGCUAAUGAUGGGGUUAUGUACCUAGGGUAGGGUCAUGGACCUGUUCCAAGUAACUUACCCUAGGACAUCCCUAGAAGAGGUCGCCUUCCAGUCGACCAACGAGGAUUCACUCGACUGGCCUGAAGGACUCGACCACGAAGACUCACUCGACCACCAGGAGGUCAAGAGGCACUCUGCACCGCAACGGCCUGUAAUUAAGUAGACUUUAUGAUAGUAAAGGCACUUUAUGUGGAGCGUUACCAGUAACGCCCCAGACUUAACUCACCUUAAACCCUCUCCUACGUGGGCUGGCUGGGGUCCUGGCGCACUCUAUAUAAGCCACCCCCCUCCACAGGCAGAAGGGUUCGGCACCUUGUAAUCCAUACAUUCAUAAUCCACUCGACCGCCUCCGGGCUCCGAGACGUAGGGCUGUUACUUCUUCCGAGAAGGGCCUGAACUCGUACAUCCUUUGUGCUUACAACCUCUCCAUAGCUAGGACAUUGCCUCUCCAUACCUACCCCCCACUCUACUGUCAGGCUUAGAACCACGACACAUGUCUUGUUCAUAAGUCUUGAAAUAUCCUUGCCAUAGUUGCCUGUCCUUGUUUGGCUGGUAAAACUUGUUGAAAACAGGGGCGUGACCUGCCUCCCUUGCAGUUACAGGAGUACCCACAGCACUAAGAUUAUCAGCUCUUUGCUGAUUAUCAUACCCAGGAGGAAUAGGAGGUCGUUGAACUCUGAUGGGGGGUAAAUUUUGCAGAUGUAAUUCUUCUGCUUGUCGAGUUUUCUCCCUUUCUAGUUCCAACUGUUUCCUGAGAGCAUCGUUUCUGGCCUGCUGAUCUGGGAUUUGUUCCUGUUGCAGAGUGGGAGAAUGUACCACAUGACUAGUACUAGGCUGAUCUGGGCCCGAUGGUGCCUGGGCAUUUGGCUAAGCAAUUGAUUUCAAAACUGCACUUAUAGUACAGAGUUGUUUGCCCAAAUCCAGUACUGCCUUCUCAAUUCCCCCAACUUGGAGAGAGAUCUCACCUUGUUUGGAACUGAUGGACCGAACGUCUUCUUGCAACUUGGAUACUUCCAAUCGCAUCAUAGAACUGUCCUUCUAAAGAACACCAAAGUCAUCUCGCAGAGAGAGAACUUCUUGAAGAUCCGCCUCAUCGAUCGUCUUCGCGCGACCCAUCUCCUUGAUCUCAGGUAAGGGCGAGGAAUUUUACCCUGGAACACCAGCAACCUUUCCCUCACCUCAGAUCCAGCCGCCGCCACGAUCCACGCCUCCAAAGCACACGGAUCAGCGCUCGGACGCGGAAUUUUACCGAUCGAACAGAGUAUCGAUCAACCGCCCCUGCUCUACCGAUUUGUGCCCUAAUUCUCACUGCCACAUGCGCCUCCACACCGCCUCAACCCCGCUGCCGUAUAACAGCACCGCCGAAAACGAAG
rnacentral:lncRNA from 1 species